UACAGAGGUCUCAACCGUUGUUCGGAUUCAUUGGGCGUAAAGGGUGCGUAGGCGGUCGUGCAAGUCGGAUGUGAAAUCUCAGGGCUCAACCCUGAAACUGCAUUCGAUACUGCGCGGCUAGAGUGCUGGAGAGGAGACUGGAAUUUACGGUGUAGCGGUGAAAUGCGUAGAUAUCGUAAGGAAGACCAGUGGCGAAGGCGGGUCUCUGGACAGUUCCUGACGCUGAGGCACGAAGGUCAGGGGAGCAAACGGG
rnacentral:rRNA from 1 species